rnacentral:rRNA from 1 species
AUCCAGACUCCUACGGGAGGCAGCAGUGGGGAAUAUUGCACAAUGGGGGAAACCCUGAUGCAGCGACGCCGCGUGAGCGAAGAAGUAUUUCGGUAUGUAAAGCUCUAUCAGCAGGGAAGAAAAUGACGGUACCUGACUAAGAAGCCCCGGCUAAAUACGUGGCAGCAGCCGCGGUAAUACGUAUGGGGCAAGCGUUAUCCGGAUUUACUGGGUGUAAAGGGAGCGCAGGCGGCUUGGCAAGUCUGAUGUGAAAGGCUGGGGCUCAACCCCAGGACUGCAUUGGAAACUGUUAGGCUGGAGUGUCGGAGAGGUAAGCGGAAUUCGCGGUGUAGCGGUGAAAUGCUUAGAUAUCGCGCAGAACCCCGAUUGCGAAGGCAGCGUACCGGCUCCACACUGACGCUGAGGCACGAAAGCGUGGGUAUCGAACAGGAUUAGAUACCCUUGUAC